AAACAGCAGCACGAGUUCAUCUUCUGACGAGACAUACAGAAAAGGCGAAGUUGCAGUUCCUCUCGAAAUCAGCAGGUCGUCAUCUUGAUUAUGAAGCUGAUAAUAACCAUAAUGAUCAUCGUGGCUUUGGUGUCGCUGCAAGUAGCUUUAGUUGAUGGGUGCCAAAAACUCGGUGAGAAUUGUGGUCCUAAAAGAUGUUGUCGGGGGCUCAGAUGUGCUAGGGUUGUUGGCACAAAGCUAAUAAAGUGCAGGUCAAAAAACUAGCACAGAAACCGACGAACUUGACCUUUGACUUCAGCAGACAGUAACUCGCUACUUGUGUCUCCUGUCGUAGCCAUGUAUCAAGACAUCAACAUUCCCAGAGUAUUUUAUCUGUUUUGUUUCUUUUAAUGAUCAUGUCAGACAUUGUCUACUCUGCUUGAUGAAUAAAGCAUAC